UGACCUAGUCGCUUGCCUAAGUGGUUUAGUGUCCGCCUUGGAUGCGGAAGGUCGCAGGUUCGAACUCUGGUCGAGUCAU